AAUCAGAUGGUUGCGGGCACUGUGCCGAAAGGCCGUGCGUGAGGAAAGUCCGGGCUCCAUAGAGCAAGGGUGCCGGGUAAUACCCGGUGGAGGUGACUCCAAGGAUAGUGCAACAGAAAAAAAACGCCUGAAUUUUCAGGUAAGUGUGGAAAGGUGCGGUAAGAGCGCACCAGGGAACUGGCGACUACUUCCCUGUGUAAACCCCAUCCGGAGCAACACUGUUAGGAAUUGUUAAGUCUGCUCGACAUUUUUCCGUUAAAGUGGCUAGAAUGGUAUAGUAAUAUGCCAUGUAGAUAGAUGACCGUCGAAUACAGAACCCGGCUUAUAGAUUUGCUCUU
rnacentral:RNase_P_RNA from 1 species